rnacentral:rRNA from 1 species
UACGGAGGAUGCAAGCGUUAUCCGGAAUGAUUGGGCGUAAAGCGUCCGCAGGUGGCUGUGUAAGUCUGCUGUUAAAUAGUGAGGCUCAACCUCAUAAAGGCAGUGGAAACUACACGGCUAGAGUGCGUUCGGGGCAGAGGGAAUUCCUGGUGUAGCGGUGAGAUGCGUAGAGAUCAGGAAGAACACCGGUGGCGAAAGCGCUCUGCUAGGCAGCAACUGACACUGAGGGACGAAAGCUAGGGGAGCGAAUGGG